rnacentral:rRNA from 1 species
GACGUAGGGCGCGAGCGUUGUCCGGAUUUAUUGGGCGUAAAGCGCACGUAGGCGGCUUUGUAAGUUAGAGGUGAAAGCCCGGGGCUCAACUCCGGAAUUGCCUUUAAGACUGCAUCGCUAGAAUUGUGGAGAGGUGAGUGGAACUGCGAGUGUAGAGGUGAAAUUCGUAGAUAUUCGCAAGAACACCAGUGGCGAAGGCGGCUCACUGGCCCAUUACUGACGCUGAGGCACGAAAGCGUGGGGAGCAAACAGG